rnacentral:rRNA from 1 species
AGAACGAACGCUGGCGGCAGGCUUAACACAUGCAAGUCGAACGCGUGUAGCAAUACACGAGUGGCGCACGGGUGAGUAACGCGUGGAUAUCUGCCUUUUGGUUCGGAAUAACCCCGGGAAACUGGGGCUAAUACCGGAUGGUUCCUUCGGGAUAAAGAUUUAUCGCCAAAAGAUGAGUCCGCGUACGAUUAGCUAGUUGGUGAGGUAAUGGCUCACCAAGGCGACGAUCGUUAGCUGGUCUGAGAGGACGAUCAGCCACACUGGGACUGAGACACGGCCCAGACUCCUACGGGAGGCAGCAGUGGGGAAUAUUGGACAAUGGGGGCAACCCUGAUCCAGCCAUGCCGCGUGAGUGAUGAAGGCCUUCGGGUUGUAAAGCUCUUUUGGCGGGGACGAUGAUGACGGUACCCGCAGAAUAAGCCCCGGCUAACUUCGUGCCAGCAGCCGC